GACGAACGCUGGCGGCGUGCUUAACACAUGCCAGUCGAACGGAAAGGCCCUGCUUUUGUGGGGUGCUCGAGUGGCGAACGGGUGAGUAACACGUGAGUAACCUGCCCUUGACUUUGGGAUAACUUCAGGAAACUGGGGCUAAUACCGGAUAGGAGCUCCUGCUGCAUGGUGGGGGUUGGAAAGUUUCGGCGGUUGGGGAUGGACUCGCGGCUUAUCAGCUUGUUGGUGGGGUAGUGGCUUACCAAGGCUUUGACGGGUAGCCGGCCUGAGAGGGUGACCGGCCAAAUUGGGACUGAGGUACGGCCCAGACUCCUACGGGAGGCAGCAGUGGGGAAUAUUGCACAAUGGGCGGAAGCCUGAUGCAGCAACGCCGCGUGCGGGAUGACGGCCUUCGGGUUGUAAACCGCUUUCGCCUGUGACGAAGCGUGAGUGACGGUAAUGGGUAAAGAAGCACCGGCUAACUACGUG
rnacentral:rRNA from 1 species